rnacentral:rRNA from 1 species
CCUACGGGAGGCAGCAGUGGGGAAUAUUGCGCAAUGGGCGAAAGCCUGACGCAGCGACGCAGCGUGAGGGAUGAAGGUCUUCGGAUCGUAAACCUCUGUCAGCAGGGAAGUACGGUCACUGUGCUAAUCAGCAGUGAAUUGACGGUACCUGCAAAGGAAGCACCGGCUAACUCCGUGCCAGCAGCCGCGGCAAUACGGAGGGUGCGAGCGUUAAUCGGAAUUACUGGGCGUAAAGCGCUCGUAGGAGGUAUGUCAAGUCAAGGGUGAAAUCCCCGCGCUCAACGUGGGAACUGCCUUUGAAACUGGCAGACUGGAGUGUGUGAGAGGAUAGUGGAAUUCCAGGUGUAGGAGUGAAAUCCGUAGAUAUCUGGAGGAACAUCAGUGGCGAAGGCGACUAUCUGGCACAUAACUGACGCUGAGGAGCGAAAGCGUGGGUAGCAAACAGGAUUAGAUACCCCAGUAGUC